rnacentral:lncRNA from 1 species
GGAGAAUAAAUGUCAUUAGAUGGACUAAACUGCGGAUUUAUAAGAGAUUAUUUAUAGGAAUUGCGGCUAAUCUUCCUUAACAUGAUACUAUACAUAAUCUUCUUAAUUUCAGAGAUAAAUCUUUUCUUACUGUAAUUAAUACAACAACAAACAUAAAACACACAUACAUAAUUAAAAAAAUCAUAGAUGAAGCAAAAGCAGUGAUGGUUUUUAGGACUAGUUUGCCAGGUUGGCAGUUGUUGCUGUGGUUGCAGUUUCCACUGUCUCUGGGCUUGAAGUUGACUCAAUUUUCUUGUCAUGGGCUUGUCGAGGACAAGACCAAGGCUUGCGACCUUCGUGAUCAUGAUGAUGACAACGUCUAGUAAUAAAAGCUCCAGCCAUGGCCCCCAACACAAACGUUACACCAGGUUUUAGAACACCCAUUUGGCUCAUCUUUUUUCUCGGAUUUAUGUUGGUCUCAAAGCUAGAUGGUAAUAGAAUAGUAUAGUGAGAAAGUUUUGGGAUUGGAAGUGUGAGGAAAACGGAAGAGUUUGAUGGGUUUUAUAUUGGAGUAUGGAGUGGUACUUUGAGUGCUGGGCAAGACUUUGGUUGGGUAAGGUUCACAUAUGGGAUAUGGCUAUUGGCUAGACCCUUUU